AUGAGCAGAACAGUGUUUGUCUGCUGCAGCUGCAUCACAAGAGAUACAAAGAAUGCAAGCUGCUCACCAAAGACGAUUUCUGUGGGGACAAGCAGAGUUUGUCCAUCAGAGAGUCUUUCUGAAAGGUGCCCUUGUGUUACGGCUACAGGUGUUUGGCAAGGAGAAACCCGACAGGAGAGCGGCGACACCAAAGUCACCCAACAGACGCUGGCCCGUUCAGAUGGCAGCUGAGCUCUUACCAGACUGUGUAAAUGUGCCAAGCUAAAAAUAGCAUGGCUUGGUAGAUCUUGGUUUUGUAGGUCAGACUAGGACAAAAUGGUAGACUGUCACCAAGGCCCAGGAUCUGGGGAAGUGCCAGAUCUCCUUUGGUUAUGAUGACAACAGCUGCUGAAGUCCCGUUUGGGCUCAUGCUGCUCUUGCACCUGUAUAUUAUAGUGUAUCUUUUUGACAUGAUGUCUUAUUUAAAAUAAAACGAAAAGGUCAGUACAAAUGCAAAUUAUGUCAUCAUUUACCCCUAUGUUAAUUUCAAUGUGUAUUUUUUUCCCCCUUCGUGAAACACAGUGUGAAUCAUGCUGAGGCAUUCAAGAUGACUAGUUCUAAAACGGACAAAAAGGCUCAUAAAAGUGAUAUGAAUUGUGUUAAUAUAUCUUCUGGAGUCAUAGGAUAAAGAAACAGAUGGGAAUUUGUUACAAAUCUUGCCAUCUGGGAAGCUCUGAAAUGGACUACAAAAGGUGUAAGGACUACAAAUAUGGUUGACAUCAAGCACCAACCACCCUGAUUCUUCCACGUCAUUUGACUAAGAGUGGGAAAUCUUAAUAAAAUCUGAACUUAAACAAAAAGAACAUGUUGUCAUUAUUACUCUCCAUCAUGUCAUUCCAAACUUGUAUUUCUUUCUUCUACUGAACACAAAAGAACAUAUUUUGAAGAAUUUUGGUAACCAAACAGUUUCUGUGACCACUGAUGUUCUUCACACAAAUGACUUCAGAAAUGUUGGUGUUAUUAUGUCUGUGAGUUGUAUGGACUAUAUUUAUGAUUCUUUUAUGGUGACUUUUUUUGGAGUUUGGCAUUAUGAAUCACAAUCCACUUUCAUUGCAAAACAGCAGCUUAGAUAUUGUGUGUAAUGUUUUAUUUUUACUCUCUCUUAUGUUUCAGAGAGAGAGAGAGAGAGAGAGAGAAAGAGAGAGAGAGAGAGAGAACAAAGUUGGAAUGAAUUGGAGUAAAUGAUGAAAAAAAUAUUUUCAUUUUAUACCUUUAAAUAUAAAGCCUGUAUUAUUAUUAUAAUUAUUAUUAUUAUUAUUAUUAUAAAUUAAUUUAAGGAAGCUAUUUGCACUGGAUGGGCUCUUUUUCUUGCUAAGAUAAUAAUAAUAAUAAUAAUAAUAAUAAUAAUAAUAAUAAUAAUAAUAAUAAUAAUAAUAAAAGUGGAUGAACUACAUCAGAAGAAAGAAAGACAUAAAAGUAUGUUUUAGUGAUUAAAGCAGGUCAUCAUCCGCAGACUCAUUGUGUAGAAUAAUAUGAAAGACGUUUAAAUAUCUAACUCAGUCAUGGAAUUCUACAUAGGACAGACUGAUAGGUUCUUUUAUAUGCAAUCUUUUAGAAAUCACAUCAUUACUGCAUGUUAUUACUGGCCUCUGCUGAUUGGUCUCUGUUGCAUUUAUACCCAAUCAGCUUGUUUAAUAAGCUAGGUC
ensembl:lncRNA